rnacentral:rRNA from 1 species
CAAUAGCGUAUAUUAAAGUUGUUGCAGUUAAAAAGCUCGUAGUUGAAUUUCGGGUCCCCGCGCUCGGCGCUUCAUUGUGCCGUCGUGGUGUCCCUCCUCGCCGUAAGGCGUCCUUUACUGUGAAAAAAUUAGAGUGUUCAAAGCAGGCAAUCGCUUGAAUACAUUAGCAUGGAAUAAUAAGAUAGGAUCUUGUCUAUUUUGUUGGUUGCGGACAACGAUAAUGAUUAAUAGGGAUAGUUGGGGGCACCUGUAUUGCGUUGUCAGAGGUGAAAUUCUUGGAUUUACGCAAGACAAACAGCUGCGAAAGCGUCUGCCAAGGAUGUUUUCAUUAA